rnacentral:rRNA from 1 species
UACGAAGGGGGCUAGCGUUGCUCGGAAUCACUGGGCGUAAAGCGCACGUAGGCGGAUUGUUAAGUCGGGGGUGAAAUCCUGGAGCUCAACUCCAGAACUGCCUUCGAUACUGGCGAUCUUGAGUCCGGGAGAGGUGAGUGGAACUCCGAGUGUAGAGGUGAAAUUCGUAGAUAUUCGGAAGAACACCCGUGGCGAAGGCGGCCAACUGGGCCCGGACCUGACGCUGAGGCGCGAAGGCGUGGGAGCGAACGGG